AUGUCGGUGAAUUUAGAGCAGAGCAGUCCAAAAACCAUUCACAGUUUUCCCAAUUUCAUUGGCACUGAGAUGAGAUUUGGACCAGAAAACGAAAGGCAUGGGAUGGGAGGGCGCAGGAUACGCACUUUUGUCAAACCACACCCACCCGCAGGUCAUCAGCUUUGGGUCAUGUGCUGUGCUCAGUCGAAGCACAUGCAGAGGGACAAAAGCCUCACACUUUUUAAAGGGAAAACCCUGCCCUUUUAUUAA
rnacentral:lncRNA from 1 species